GAUGAACGCUGGCGGCGUGCUUAACACAUGCAAGUCGAACGGGAUCCAAGGGGUGCUUGCACUUUUUGGUGAGAGUGGCGAACGGGUGAGUAACACGUGAGUAACCUGUCCUUUUCUUUGGGAUAAGCAUUCGAAAGGGUGUUUAAUACCUUAUGUUCUGUCUGCCUCGCAUGGGGUGGGUGGGAAAGGCUUUGGCCGGAUUUGGGUGGGCUCGCGGUCUAUCAGCUUGUUGGUGGGGUGAUGGCUUACCAAGGCUUUGACGGGUAGCCGGCCUGAGAGGGUGGUCGGUCACAUUGGGACUGAGAUGCGGCCCAGACUCCUGCGGGAGGCAGCAGUGGGGGAAAUUGCACAAUGGGCGAAAGCCUGAUGCAGCGACGCCGCGUGGGGGAGGAAGGCCGUCGGGUUGUAAACUUCUUUUGCUCUGAACAAGGCAUGCCAGUGGGUGUGUGGAGUGUAGGGGUUGAUUAGCGCCGGCUAACUACGUG
rnacentral:rRNA from 1 species